GGUCUUGGCCUAGUGGUUAAGACUUCCGAGUAACACCUUUGAAGUCCUGGGUUCGAUUCCCCGCGGGAACG